rnacentral:tRNA from 1 species
UUAACUGAAGCUAAAAAGAAGCAAUUUACUGUUAAUAAAAAGAAUGAAUUUAUAUAAUCCAGUUAAA